rnacentral:rRNA from 1 species
GAUGAACGCUGGCGGCGUGCCUAAUACAUGCAAGUCGAGCGAACAGAUGAGGAGCUUGCUCCUCUGACGUUAGCGGCGGACGGGUGAGUAACACGUGGAUAACCUACCUAUAAGACUGGGAUAACUUCGGGAAACCGGAGCUAAUACCGGAUAAUAUAUUGAACCGCAUGGUUCAAUAGUGAAAGACGGUUUUGCUGUCACUUAUAGAUGGAUCCGCGCCGCAUUAGCUAGUUGGUAAGGUAACGGCUUACCAAGGCAACGAUGCGUAGCCGACCUGAAAGGGUGAUCGGCCACGCUGGAACUGAGACACGGCCCAGACUCCUACGGGAGGCAGCAGUAGGGAAUCUUCCGCAAUGGGCGAAAGCCUGACGGGGCAACGCCGCGUGAGUGAUGAAAGUCUUCGGAUCGUAAAACUCUGUUAUUAGGGAAGAACAAAUGUGUAAGUAACUAUGCACGUCUUGACGGUACCUAAUCAGAAAGCCACGGCUAACUACGU